AAAAGGUGGCUAUGCUACCGCUUUUGGAUGGGCCCGCGGUGCAUUGGCUAGUUGGUGGGUAAAAGGCUUACCAAGGCAAUGAUGCGUAGCCGAACUGAGAGGUUGAUCGGCCACAUUGGGACUGAGACACGGCCCAAACUCCUACGGGAGGCAGCAGUAGGGAAUCUUCCACAAUGGGCGAAAGCCUGAUGGAGCAACGCCGCGUGGGUGAAGAAGGUCUUCGGAUCGUAAAACCCUGUUGUUAGAGAAGAAAGUGCGUGAGAGUAACUGUUCACGUUUCGACGGUAUCUAACCAGAAAGCCACGGCUAACUACGUGCCAGCAGCCGCGGUAAUACGUAGGUGGCAAGCGUUAUCCGGAUUUAUUGGGCGUAAAGGGAACGCAGGCGGUCUUUUAAGUCUGAUGUGAAAGCCUUCGGCUUAACCGGAGUAGUGCAUUGGAAACUGGGAGACUUGAGUGCAGAAGAGGAGAGUGGAACUCCAUGUGUAGCGGUGAAAUGCGUAGAUAUAUGGAAGAACACCAGUGGCGAAAGCGGCUCUCUGGUCUGUAACUGACGCUGAGGUUCGAAAGCGUGGGUAGCAAACAGGAUUAGAUACCCUGGUAGUCCACGCCGUAAACGAUGAAUGCUAAGUGUUGGAGGGUUUCCGCCCUUCA
rnacentral:rRNA from 1 species